GAUGAAGAACGUAGCGAAAUGCGAUAAGUAAUGUGAAUUGCAGAACUCAGUGAAUCAUCGAAUCUUUGAACGCACAUUGCGCCCGCCAGUAUUCUGGCGGGCAUGCCUGUUCGAGCGUCAUUACAACCCUCAGGCCCCCGGGCCUGGCGUUGGGGAUCGGCGGAAGCCCCCUGUGGGCACAACGCCGUCCCCCAAAUACAGUGGCGGUCCCGCCGCAGCUUCCAUUGCGUAGUAGCUAACACCUCGCAACUGGAGAGCGGCGCGGCCACGCCGUAAAACACCCAACUUCUGAAUGUUGACCUCGAAUCAGGUAGGAAUACCCGCUGAACUUAAGCAUAUCAAUAAGCGGAGGA
rnacentral:misc_RNA from 1 species